AUUUCGGUGUGUCUCUUUUAGCGCGAUGUCCAGUUGGACUUCUAAUCCAAAGAUUGGGGGUUCGAAUCCCUCCUGGGAUG